GUGGGGAAUCUUGCGCAAUGGGCGAAAGCCUGACGCAGCCAUGCCGCGUGAAUGAUGAAGGUCUUAGGAUUGUAAAAUUCUUUCACCGGGGACGAUAAUGACGGUACCCGGAGAAGAAGCUCCGGCUAACUUCGUGCCAGCAGCCGCGGUAAUACGAAGGGGGCUAGCGUUGCUCGGAAUUACUGGGCGUAAAGGGCGCGUAGGCGGACAGCUUAGUCAGAGGUGAAAGCCCAGGUCUCAACCUUGGAAUUGCCUUUGAUACUGGCUGUCUUGAGUUUGGGAGAGGUGAGUGGAACUCCGAGUGUAGAGGUGAAAUUCGUAGAUAUUCGGAAGAACACCAGUGGCGAAGGCGACUCACUGGCCCAAUACUGACGCUGAGGCGCGAAAGCGUGGGGAGCAAACAGGAUUAGAUACCCUAGUAGUCC
rnacentral:rRNA from 1 species